AAUUUAAUUCAAAAUAUCAUUGGAACUGGAGUUUUUAAGGGAUAUUAAUGAUGGAGAUCUCAGUGGGUGCUGUGGGAAUUCUCCCAAGGAUCCCUGGGAAAGGACUUGGCUGUUUUGUUGGCUUCAGGAUUCCCGGGGAGUUCCUUGUGUGGAAUUCAGAGGUGGAAUUAAUCUCAGCCUAAGUGGGGAUUUAGGGAUCCCUACGAACACCUGGAGCUUGUGUUCUGGGAUUAAUCCCUAAAUUAUCCCGUGAUCCAUCCGAGGAGAUAAUGAGCUGGUGAGUGAUUAAAUCCCCGUGACGUGCUGGGUGUUCCCAAAUUAAUUGUGGGAUGGCAAACUGUAACGAGGAAUUGAGAUGUUCCGGGGAAUCAUCCGACCCUCGGGAACAAGAAACCUCUGGAAGUGUGGACAGAAGCCAUUCCAAUUUCUCCCGCUUUGAGAGCGUUGCCCUUGGAGAGGAGGCUCAGCCCGACGAGCCGAUGAACGAGGACAUCCGUAUCCAUAGCUGGCCUUGCUCCUACUACCUGGACACCGGGAAGCAAUGGAUCUCUGGGAAACUCUCCCUGACUCCCGUCGGGAUCAAAUUCACAGCUGACAAAACCGGGGAGCUCUUGGUCGACUUCCACCUUUCCGGGAUCAGCGAGAUCAAGAAGGAAUCUUCCAACCUCAUCUUCAGCUCCCUCACCAUCCUGGAGAAGAACACCAAGCACUGGUUCAGCUCCCUGCAGCCCAACAGGAAUGUGGUGUUCAACAUCCUGGAGCACUUCUGGAGGGAGCAGCUGCUGGAGAGCCGAGGGGCGGGAGCGGAAGGAGCGGCCCCGCGGAUCGGGAAAGGGAAGGAACUGACGGGAAUGUUGGCGGGAUCCCAGAAACGCCUGGAGGACACGGCCAAGGUGCUGCACUACCAGGGGGAGCAGUUUGACAACAUCAUGAAAGGGCUCAACAAGAUCGAGGGGGACAUGGAUGUGGCCGACAGGUUGUUGACAGAGCUGGAAUCUCCUUCCUGGUGGCCCUUCAGCAGCAAACUCUGGAAAACACCUCUGGAAUCCAAGCCCAAGGAAGCGGCCGCAGCUUCCGAGCCCAAGAACCAGGAAGGAAUCAUCCUGAGAAUUCCAGUCAUUAUCACCCACAGAACAGACUCCAGUGCCAAACCAGGAAAACUCACCCUCUUUGCUUCUGGCCUGGAGAUCAGUGACUGCAAUUCCCAGGUGAUCCACAGGUUUGAAUCCCGGGAUGUGGAUGAUAUCCGGGUGCACACUCCCUACGAGAUCAGCGUCCGCCAGAGGUUUAUUGGGAAGCCCGACACGUCCUACAGGCUCCUGUCAGCCAAGAUGCCAGAGGUCAUUCCCGUCCUGGAGAUGCAGUUCAGCAAGAAGAUGCAGUUCCUGGAGGAUGCCUUGGGAUUUGUGGGAGCCAGGAAGUCUCCUCAGGUGGAUUUGGGGACGUCCAUCUGGCAGGCGGCCACAGGACUCCUGGGAGGGGUGGUGCAGCCUGGAUCUCCAGCAGGAAGCAGGGAAGGGACGGACAAUGAGCAGGUUCAGCUGCAGCAGCACGAGAAGGUCUCCCAGGAAGAGGCAAAAGAGCUGAGACAGAUCCUGAAGAAGCUGAAGGGCCUCGCCCUGGAGACGGAAGCAGAGCUGGAAAGGCAGGAUGAGGCCCUGGAUUCCAUCAGCAGCUCCGUGGACAGGGCCACGCUGACCAUCGACAAGCAGAACCGCAGGAUGAAGAGGCUCACGUAGCCCUGGGAAUGGGAAUGGGAAUGGGAAUGGGAUGAGCAGGAGGAGCAGGGAGCUGGAUUCAUCCACACUGUUCCUCCAUGGACACCGAUUGCCUGGGAGGUGUUUGGGAACACCUUGGUGUCCCUGGAAUUCUGUGCUGCUGGUGUGGAGUUCCUGAAGGUUUGGUUUUCCUGAGGGCUUGGUUUUCCUGAGGGCUUGGAAUUCCUGAAGGUUUGGGAAAUGUUUCCAGGUGUUUUAGGAUGAAAAAGGAGAAAACUUUUAACCCUGGGAGUGGCUCCUUCCCUCCAGAACCCGUGUAAAUAGGAAGGGAUGUGACCGACCCUGACCCGACUUGGAUGUUGCUUUUUUAUGUUGCUGCUUCUGAGGGGGGUUUUUUUGGAGGGGUGUUUGUAGCCCUGGAGCCCUGGGAAUGGGAAUGGGAAGAAGAGGAGGAGCAGGGAGCUGGAUUCACCCACACUGUUCCUCCAUGGACA